UGGAGUCUGAACCUCUCUCUCUAUGUUUCUCUCUUUACUGAAGUGAAAUCUGAAGAAAUAUGGAGUCUUCCGGAUGAGAUUCAGCAUUAUCAGCUUCAGUUUUAUCAGAAGUGAAAGUUGUUUCGAUGGUGUACCCAUUUUAAAAAAAUACAUACUGAGGCUAUUGGAAAUCUGGGUUCUUGUAAUGGUUUGAUUUGUAUGGGUAUUUCUGGUGGUGGAAUGGGUAUUUGAAUUUCGGGAUGAAUCAAGUGUCACUAUCAAAGCGAAAUUGACGAUUACAUUGUAGUACGAAUAUCUGGGGUUCUAAACUCUCCUGAUUGCUUUAAAAUGCAAGUAUAUGCAUUGGGAUUGGAUUCUUGGAAUUGUAUCAACAACCCCAUCUCUUACAAGGCCUUUUACAAAUACUUGUGGUUUGCUUUUCAUGGGACUCAUUGGAAUUGCAAAGCAUCUCUAAAGUUAUACUAAUUUGUUUUCAGUACUAGCAGGGAAAGGCUCAUGGAUGUGCCUUUACUAUGUUACCUCCCGAAUACGGAGAAGAAUUGGAUAUGCAUGUGAGUGUGCUGGAAGACUUACUGUUUUGAGAGGAAAUUUGGAUAUCCUGCUGAUGAGUAUAGAGGGUUAUUUGGAAAGCCUAGUCCCACUUAAAACUGGUACUUAUGUGGAGAAAAAGACUACAAACUUAAACAUGGAGAACUCCAGCUAGGCGAUAAACAUUGAGCUAUCCUGAGAAAACGCUUCCACUGCCAGAUGAUACAGGUCCAGUUUGUGAACCGGUUACUCUUGGAGGUUUCUUCAUUUGUCUAAUUAUGAAAAGAUAUAUUGGAAGUGGUCUUUUGGAGGUUUCUUCAUUUGUCUAAUUAUGAAAAGAUAUAUUGGAAGUGGUCUGGGUUGAGGUUUCAUCAUUUUGUUGCAUGUCCUUCCCUUUUUUGUUUCCCCUAGUUGAUUUGAAAGACAGAACAACUGGGUUGGACCGCGACUUGUUUGCACCAGAAAGCUCAGUUGUGCUAGGACUGGGGAUUGAUGGUAUUUGCUAAUUUUGUUGCAUGUCCAUGUGCUUCCUUCUCUGUGUCUGUACCGAAAGAACAUUACUUUGCAGUAAUAUCGAUGAAACGAUGUAAACAUUUGGCGCAGGCCCAUCAACAGAGGGGGGCGCAGAUCCUCUGUAACCGAAUAUUGCCUGUCCCCCUGUCCCAACGUAUCAAGA